rnacentral:rRNA from 1 species
CGAACGCUGGCGGCGUGCUUAACACAUGCAAGUCGAACGAGAAAGGGACUUCGGUCCUGAGUAGAGUGGCGCACGGGUGAGUAACGCGUAGGUAAUCUACCUCUGCAUCUGGGAUAACACUUCGAAAGGGGUGCUAAUACCGGAUACACUUAUGGGUCGCAAGACGUAUAAGGAAAGGAGACCUCUCCUUGGAAGUUUCUGUGUAGAGAUGAGCCUGCUUCCCAUUAGCUAGUUGGUAGGGUAAUGGCCUACCAAGGCGACGAUGGGUAGCGGGUCUGAGAGGAUGAUCCGCCACACUGGAACUGAAACACGGACCAGACUCCUACGGGAGGCAGCAGUGAGGAAUAUUGGACAAUGGGCGCAAGCCUGAUCCAGCGACGCCGCGUGAGUGAUGAAGGCCUUUGGGUCGUAAAGCUCUGUCACCAGGGAACAACCGCCGUGCCGUUUAUACCCCGUGCGGAUUGACCGUACCCUGCANAGGAAACACC